GAUGAACGCUGGCGGCGUGCCUAAUACAUGCAAGUCGAGCGAACGGACGAGAAGCUUGCUCCUCUGAUGUUAGCGGCGGACGGGUGAGUAACACGUGGAUAACCUACCUAUAAGACUGGGAUAACUUCGGGAAACCGUAGCUAAUACCGGAUAAUAUUUUGAACCGCAUGGUUCAAAAGUGAAAGACGGUCUUGCUGUCACUUAUAGAUGGAUCCGCGCUGCAUUAGCUAGUUGGUAAGGUAACGGCUUACCAAGGCAACGAUGCAUAGCCGACCUGAGAGGGUAAUCGGCCACACUGGAACUGAGACACGGUCCAGACUCCUACGGGAGGCAGCAGUAGGGAAUCUUCCGCAAUGGGCGAAAGCCUGACGGAGCAACGCCGCGUGAGUGAUGAAGGUCUUCGGAUCGUAAAACUCUGUUAUUAGGGAAGAACAUAUGUGUAAGUAACUGUGCACAUCUUGACGGUACCUAAUCAGAAAGCCACGGCUAACUACGUG
rnacentral:rRNA from 1 species